rnacentral:misc_RNA from 1 species
GAUGAAGAACGCAGCGAAAUGCGAUAAGUAAUGUGAAUUGCAGAAUUCAGUGAAUCACCGAAUCUUUGAACGCACAUUGCGCCCGCCAGUAUUCUGGCGGGCAUGCCUGUUCGAGCGUCAUUACAACCCUCAGGCCCCCGGGCCUGGCGUUGGGGAUCGGCGGAGCCCCCCGUGGGCACACGCCGUCCCCCAAAUACAGUGGCGGUCCCGCCGCAGCUUCCAUCGCGUAGUAGCUAACACCUCGCGACUGGAGAGCGGCGCGGCCACGCCGUAAAACACCCAACUCUUCUGAAGUUGACCUCGAAUCAGGUAGGAAUACCCGCUGAACUUAAGCAUAUCAAUAAGCGGAGGA